rnacentral:rRNA from 1 species
AACGAACGCUGGCGGCAGGCCUAACACAUGCAAGUCGAACGGGACCUUCGGGUCUAGUGGCGGACGGGUGAGUAACGCGUGGGAACGUGCCCUUUGGUUCGGAAUAGCCCCGGGAAACUGGGAGUAAUACCGGAUAAGCCCUACGGGGGAAAGAUUUGUCGCCAAAGGAUCGGCCCGCGUUGGAUUAGGUAGUUGGUGAGGUAAUGGCUCACCAAGCCGACGAUCCAUAGCUGGUUUGAGAGGAUGAUCAGCCACACUGGGACUGAGACACAGCCCAGACUCCUACGGGAGGCAGCAGUGGGGAAUCUUAGACAAUGGGGGAAACCCUGAUCUAGCCAUGCCGCGUGAUCGAUGAAGGCCUUAGGGUUGUAAAGAUCUUUCAGUGGGGAAGAUAAUGACUGUACCCACAGAAGAAGCCCCGGCUAACUCCGUGCCAGCCGCCGCCGUAACAC